rnacentral:lncRNA from 1 species
GCCCGGGCCCUAGAGGCCUCUGGGAAGGAGAGCCCACCCCCAGAGGCAAACAGUCCUCAUGGGUAGGAAGUCCUCCCCCGUUUCCACCUAAUUGAAAAGUAGCACGGCCCAGUGAACAGAGCUGGGGCCUGGGAGUCAGAAGGACCUGGGUUCUAAUCCCGGCUCUGCCACUUGUCUGCUCGGUUACCUCAGGCAACCCAUUUCACUUCUCUGUGCCUCAGUUCCCUCAUCUGUAAAAUGGGGAUUAAAACUUCGAGCCCCAUGUGGGACCUGAAUUGUACCCAACCUUAGUUUGUAUCUAUCCCAGUGCUUAGAACAGUGCCUGGCACAUAGUAAGCAAUGAACGGGUACCAUCAUCAUCAUCAUUUAAGUCCCUCAAGCCGCGCAGGGUCCCAGCCGGCCCAGUGGAGUUCCGGGCUUUGGGAAGUGAGCGUCUCCCCCGGCCUUUGGCCUUUCCCUUGGGGGGAGGCAGGCCGCCAAAGAAACUGCUCGGGCGCCAGCAGGAGAGGGAGAGUUUUCUAACCGGGGCGUGGGACCCUCCCUGCUGCUGGGGCUCCUGCCUCCCGCACCCCCAAAGCCCCGAGCGAGUGGCGUCUCCUCUCCCUCCUGCAAGGCCGACGGGCAGCCUGCUGCCCACCGGCCGGGGAGCUGCCCCAACCCAAGGCGGUGGCUCAGAUGGCAGCGCUGCCGCCCAGGAGGGACAAGGCCGUCCCCUCACCCCACCUCCUGCUCCUCCGGGUUGAAGUUUUUCCGUCAGCCUCUUCGGAAGGGCAGGCUGCUUCCCGGCCCCCCCAUCAGAGUUAAAGACAGAAGAAUCGUGUUCACAACCAAUAACGACAAAGUACCAAAGUCACACGCUGGAACUCCCGGGGAGCGGAAAAGCAGAAGCGGGCUGUACCACCUUUCCCGUCCCCGGAAGCCGGUUCGGGAGAAAGAGAGCGGGAGCCGGAGCCCGGGAGGAGGAGCCUCUCCCGUCUGCACUGGCAGCGGACGGACAAGACUCCCUCACGAUGGAGAUUUUUAUUCCCCGUUCUCGUAA